CAGCAAAAAAAGCCAAUGUGGGGGGUCUUCCCCACUCUGAGAAAAAAAAAUGGAAGCCUUAGUGCCAAAGGCGUGAAACAUGAAGUCAUCUCCAAAUAUGCCUCUCACACAGGGUACGGGAGCAGAAGAGAACCCUGUUCCUCCACUCCGGCUACAUACCCAGCAACAGGGGCACAAUUAGUUAGCAGUUGAGUACCUGAAGUGGUGUUUGGGGGUCGGUGUCUACCCAGAGGACUCCCAAGCCUAACAGACAAAAUAAGGCGCAAGAUGGCAAAGGUGAGCCCAUUUGCCGAGGACGAGUUUGUUACCCUUCAGAAAAGUGAAGUGAAAUGCUCAUUUCAGUGCCCUCUUCCUCAGGAAAGGAUGGGCAGAAGAGCAGCAGACGUUGCUCCUGUGAUCUGGAGAAGAUGAGGGAAUCCCUUGGAGAAGAAGAAACCCUUGCGAGGGGGAGAGAAACAUGGUGGAAAUCAAAGAAGUAGGAGGCCAGGACUGGAAAGGAGAUGGGAGAGGGAAGGAACAAGAGCCUGGAGGUGGGAAGGAAGACACGGUGUCCAAGGGAGAGAUGAGCACCUUGAAUCUGAUGUGGAAGCUAGGGUUAGCCAGUACAGGAAAUGCUGUGGUCCAAGUCUAAGGCAGGAAGGCACCCUUCAACUGCUCCCAGUGGAGCUGGCUAAGCAAUGGGAAGGAAGGAGCAGGGGAAUGUCAAAGUUGGACUGAGAGGAGUGCAGAGAAGGCUCCGAAGCAGGCAGAGAAACUGAGUCAUCCAUUAGCCUAGAGAGGAGACCUCCUCACCUCGUAGCCCUACCCAUCUCCUGGGGAAAACUGGAAGUCUGAGCCUGUCCCUGAUCAGAUUCCCUUCCAGUUUCAUCAUCACCCUCAGCCAUCACAUUGGGUUUUUUUUUAAAAAAAGGUUAAAAAAAAGUCUGCUCAUCUCAGGUGUGUGUUUUCCCAGCCCAAAGGUGUGGCCAUCUUUACUUAUCAUUUCUCAAAAAUGUGAAUGAUCUCUCUUCCUGUUUCCUUGGCUUCUGUGCUAAUAAACUGGUUUUCCUCUAA